AGAGUUUGAUCAUGGCUCAGAUUGAACGCUGGCGGCAUGCCUUACACAUGCAAGUCGAACGGCAGCGCGGGAGCANNCCUGGCGGCGAGUGGCGAACGGGUGAGUAAUACAUCGGAACGUGCCCAAUCGUGGGGGGAUAACGCAGCGAAAGCUGUGCUAAUACCGCAUACGAUCUACGGAUGAAAGCAGGGGACCGCAAGNNCUUGCGCGACUGGAGCGGCCGAUGGCAGAUUAGGUAGUUGGUGGGGUAAAGGCUCACCAAGCCUUCGAUCUGUAGCUGGUCUGAGAGGACGACCAGCCACACUGGGACUGAGACACGGCCCAGACUCCUACGGGAGGCAGCAGUGGGGAAUUUUGGACAAUGGGCGCAAGCCUGAUCCAGCCAUGCCGCGUGCAGGAUGAAGGCCUUCGGGUUGUAAACUGCUUUUGUACGGAACGAAAAGGUUCUCUCUAAUAAAGAGGGCUCAUGACGGUACCGUAAGAAUAAGCACCGGCUAACCACGUGCCAGCAGCCGCGGUAAUACGUAGGGUGCAAGCGUUAAUCGGAAUUACUGGGCGUAAAGCGUGCGCAGGCGGUUAUGUAAGACAGUUGUGAAAUCCCCGGGCUCAACCUGGGAACUGCAUCUGUGACUGCAUAGCUAGAGUACGGUAGAGGGGGAUGGAAUUCCGCGUGUAGCAGUGAAAUGCGUAGAUAUGCGGAGGAACACCGAUGGCGAAGGCAAUCCCCUGGACCUGUACUGACGCUCAUGCACGAAAGCGUGGGGAGCAAACAGGAUUAGAUACCCUAGUAGUCC
rnacentral:rRNA from 1 species